rnacentral:rRNA from 1 species
UACGUAGGGUCCGAGCAUUGUCCGGAAUUAUUGGGCGUAAAGAGCUCGUAGGCGGUCUGUUGCGUCGGCUGUGAAAACCCGGGGCUCAACUCCGGGCCUGCAGUCGAUACGGGCAGACUAGAGUUCGGUAGGGGAGACUGGAAUUCCUGGUGUAGCGGUGAAAUGCGCAGAUAUCAGGAGGAACACCGGUGGCGAAGGCGGCUUGCUGGGCCUUACCUGACGCUGAGGAGCGAAAGCGUGGGGAGCGAACAGG